GAUGAAGAACGCAGCGAAAUGCGAUAAGUAAUGUGAAUUGCAGAAUUCAGUGAAUCAUCGAAUCUUUGAACGCACAUUGCGCCCUCUGGUAUUCCGGGGGGCAUGCCUGUUCGAGCGUCAUUAUAACCACUCAAGCUCUCGCUUGGUAUUGGGGUUCGCGGUUUCGCGGCCCCUAAAAUCAGUGGCGGUGCCUGUCGGCUCUACGCGUAGUAAUACUUCUCGCGAUUGAGUUCGAUAGGUCUACUUGCCAGUAACCCCCAAUUUUUACAGGUUGACCUCGGAUCAGGUAGGGAUACCCGCUGAACUUAAGCAUAUCAAUAAGCGGAA
rnacentral:misc_RNA from 1 species